rnacentral:rRNA from 2 species
AACGCGUAUGCAACCUACCUUAAUCAGGGGGAUAGCCCGAAGAAAUUCGGAUUAACACCGCAUAAAAUCACAGUACAGCAUUGUACAAUGAUCAAAUAUUUAUAGGAUUAAGAUGGGCAUGCGUGACAUUAGUUAGUUGGCGGGGUAACGGCCCACCAAGACCACGAUGUCUAGGGGAUCUGAGAGGAUGACCCCCCACACUGGUACUGAGACACGGACCAGACUCCUACGGGAGGCAGCAGUAAGGAAUAUUGGUCAAUGGAGGCAACUCUGAACCAGCCAUGCCGCGUGCAGGAAGACAGCCCUCUGGGUCGUAAACUGCUUUUAUUCGGGAAUAAACCUAUCUACGUGUAGAUAGCUGAAUGUACCGAAGGAAUAAGGAUCGGCUAACUCCGUGCCAGCAGCCGCGGUAAUACGGAGGAUCCAAGCGUUAUCCGGAUUUAUUGGGUUUAAAGGGUGCGUAGGCGGCUUUUUAAGUCAGGGGUGAAAGACGGUGGCUCAACCAUCGCAGUGCCCUUGAUACUGAAGAGCUUGAAUGAACUAGAGGUAGGCGGAAUGUGACAAGUAGCGGUGAAAUGCAUAGAUAUGUCACAGAACACCGAUUGCGAAGGCAGCUUACUAUGGUUAAAUUGACGCUGAGGCACGAAAGCGUGGGGAUCAAACAGGAUUAGAUACCCUGGUAGUCCACGCCCUAAACGAUGAAUACUCGCUGUUAG